UUAUGUCAUCUAUUCCUUUUACAUCUUCCUUUUCUAAAGCAAGGUGUAAUGAAGUGGAAACAACACUUUUCCCACCCUAAAAGAUAUCUUUCUUUACAAAGAACAGAGAAGAAAGCAUAAAGCCAUACAUCAAUCACAAUAAUUAACAAUCUACCUAUGUUUACUUUUCAUGUGUCUAUUUUCCAUAUACCCUUGUUUGGAUUUGAAUGAGUAAUCCUGACUACUUUAUGUUUCGAAUCCCGCCUUUUCUUGUUGACGUAUUCGUGAGGAACAGUAUCUACUUUUACCAAAUCAACUUUCACUAUGUGGUGAUCAGAUGUUCCUUUCGAGGAGAAAACCGAGUAUGAUCCUGGAACAAACUUGUAUGGUGAA
rnacentral:misc_RNA from 1 species